rnacentral:rRNA from 1 species
UACGUAGGGGCCUAGGCGUUGUCCGGAUUUAUUGGGCGUAAAGUAGCUCGUAGGCGGUUCGGCAAGUCGGAUGUGAAAUCUCCACGCUCAAGCGUGGAGGGGCCAUUCGAAACUGCCGUGACUCGAGUCCGGUAGGGGAGGUGUGGAAUUCCCGGUGUAGCGGUGAAAUGCGUAGAGAUCGGCAGGAACACCCAGGGGGAAACCGAGUGGACUGGCACGGUGCUGACGCUCAGGUGCGAAAGCGUGGGGAGCGAGUCCGG